rnacentral:rRNA from 1 species
UACGAAGGGGGCUAGCGUUACUCGGAAUUAUUGGGCGUAAAGCGCGCGUAGGCGGUUAUGUAAGUUGGGAGUGAAAGCCCAGGGCUCAACCUUGGAAUUGCUUUCAAAACUACGUAGCUUGAGUAUUGGAGAGGAUAGUGGAAUUCCUAGUGUAGAGGUGAAAUUCGUAGAUAUUAGGAGGAACACCAGAUGCGAAAGCGGCUAUCUGGCCAAAUACUGACGCUGUUGCACGAAAGCGUGGGGAGCAAACAGG